rnacentral:lncRNA from 1 species
UAAAAGGAAGACAAAUAAGAAUUAAACUGAAUAUUUCCCCAUGAAAAGAUAACUCUAGCUACUAGGCACGUACGUGAUUAACUGAAUGAUCCGGUGAACUUUACAUAAUAACAAAAUACAGGUGAUCUCAGUUCGUUAUCUCUUCGAUCAUUCAACCUAUCGAUGAUCGAUCUAUAUAAAUAUAAGAUUAAUUAAUAGUAUCUAAAGUGGUUGCAACUCACGACAAAAAAAAAAUUGAAAUAAAAUAGAAACGUAAAUGCCAAAAUAUGGACAGCCACACGUAUGCAUGUAUGAUUUAUGUAAAUAGGUAAUCAUUGUAUCCCCCGUUUGGACGGAGUGAGCUGUGAGCCU